UGUAAGAAGAGGACGCAGGAUAGGUGUGGUGAAGGCAAAGACAGGAAUAUUUCAUCCAGCGUUGAAGUUCGGGACCAUUACGAUGUAUCCCAGGAUGAAACAAUUAUGUCUUCUUGUGAAAUGCACCUCUAUAUUAGGUUUGGAACUGCCAAAUCCGUUGCUGAGGCCCUGCUUUAUAAUAUCUUUCUCAGACCUCUGGUCGGAGGCCUAUUUUGGAACUCGACGAGACUCACGCACGCUCACGAGUGGAUUUUGGCGGAAACUGUGCAUGCUGAUAUUGUUAUUAUAAAAACUUUUAGCUUAAGACGUGAGAUUUUAACAUAUUGGAAUCGUGCCGUGAAAUCCAUCGGGUUUCCUUUUCAAAUUAUUAUUUAGUUUGACCACUAAUAAUUUGCAUUCAAAUUAUCACCUAAAUAUUGAUUUUUAUCUAAUUAAACAUUUGGAGAAGCGUGUAUAUGUCUGGUUUUACUUGAAAACCAUUCAGAUUUUAUAUUAUUUGGUUAUUCAAUAGUGAAAUCGUCGAAGCGGUAUAUUGCCACUAUGUAAUUUCAAUAGUGCGUGCGUAUCACAACUUUGAAUCUUGAGUGAGAUUGUAAAAUUCUGCUACUGUGUUCUUUGCUACUACAGUUAAAAUUGUAGAAGUUGACUUUA